GCAUCCGUAGCUCAGCUGGAUAACGUUGCUUUAGCAACGGCCCGAGCGGUCGGAGGUUCGAAUCCUCCCGGAUGCACCA
rnacentral:tRNA from 1 species